rnacentral:rRNA from 1 species
AUGCAGUCGAACGGUAACAGGUCUUCGGAUGCUGACGAGUGGCGAACGGGUGAGUAAUGUAUCGGAACGUGCCCAGUAGUGGGGGAUAACUACUCGAAAGAGUGGCUAAUACCGCAUGAGAACUGAGGUUGAAAGCGGGGGACCUUCGGGCCUCGCGCUACUGGAGCGGCCGAUAUCAGAUUGGGUAGUUGGUGGGGUAAAGGCCUACCAAGCCGACGAUCUGUAGCUGGUCUGAGAGGACGACCAGCCACACUGGGACUGAGACACGGCCCAGACUCCUACGGGAGGCAGCAGUGGGGAAUUUUGGACAAUGGACGCAAGUCUGAUCCAGCAAUGCCGCGUGCAGGACGAAGGCCUUCGGGUUGUAAACUGCUUUUGUACAGAACGAAAAGGCUCUGGUUAAUACCUGGGGCUCAUGACGGUACUGUAA